AUAUUAUUCAAGAAUUCAUUGGGAAGAACAUUGUUAUUAGCAAAAAUCAGCAUGGUUUUAUGAAACAUAGGUCAUGUCAAACUAACCUAACUGCAUUCUACAAAGAAGUAAGUAAAUGUAUAGAUCAAGGUGUUGCCUUGGAUGUGAUCUAUUUAAAUUUUUCCAAGGUGUACAGUACGCUUCCGCACAAUAGCUUAGUGUUCAAAUUCAAAGAAAU